UACGUAGGGGGCAAGCGUUGUCCGGAUUCAUUGGGCGUAAGGAGCGUGUAGGCGGCCAGGUAGGUCGGUUGUGAAAACUGGAGGCUCAACCUUCAGAGGUCGACCGAAACCAUCUGGCUAGAGUCCGGGAGAGGAGAGUGGAAUUCCUGGUGUAGCGGUGAAAUGCGCAGAUAUCAGGAAGAACACCCGUGGCGAAAGCGGCUCUCUGGAACGGUACUGACGCUGAGACGCGAAAGCGUGGGGAGCGAACAGA
rnacentral:rRNA from 1 species